GAAGAAUUAGUUAAACCCAUAACGCAAGUUUGUCAAGCUUGAGUUGUCCUAAGGACAUUUUUCU
rnacentral:tRNA from 1 species